rnacentral:rRNA from 1 species
UACAGAGGUCCCAAGCGUUGUUCGGAUUCACUGGGCGUAAAGGGCGCGUAGGCGGCCUGCUAAGUCGAACGUGAAAUCCCCGAGCUCAACUCGGGAACUGCGUCCGAUACUGGCAGGCUUGAAUCCGGGAGAGGGAUGCGGAAUUCCAGGUGUAGCGGUGAAAUGCGUGGAUAUCUGGAGGAACACCGGUGGCGAAGGCGGCAUCCUGGACCGGCAUUGACGCUGAGGCGCGAAAGCCAGGGGAGCAAACGGG